GUUUGUCUAUAGAGUAAGUACACUUUGCUCAUUUGUGUCGUUAGGUUGCUGUCUAAUUGACGUAUUUCGUAUGUUGAUGAAUUUUUGUUCUUUGUGUCGUCAUGUUUCUGUCUUGUUGAUGUAUUUCGUAUGUUGGUGUAUUUUGGUUAUUUGUGUCGUCAGGUUGCUGUCUGAUUGACGUAUUUCGUAUGCUUAUGUAUUUUUGUUAUUUGUUUCGUCAGGUUGCUGUCUGAUUGACGUAUUUUGUAUGCGUAUGUAUUUUUGUUAUUUGUUUCGUCAGGUCGCUGUCUUAUUGACGUAUUUCGUAUGCUGAUGUAUUUUUGUUAUUUGUUUCGUCAGGUUGCUGUCUGAUUGACGUAUUUCGUAUGCUUAUGUAUUUUUGUUAUUUGUUUCGUCAGGUUGCUGUCUUAUUGACGUAUUUCGUAUGCUGAUGUAUUUUUGUUAUUCGUGUCGUCAUUUUUCUGUCUAGUUGACCUUUUCGUAUGUUGAUGCAUUUGUUUUUUGUGUCGUCAGGUUGCUGUCUAAUGACGUAUAUCGUAUUUUGAUGUAUUUUUGUUCUUUGUGUUGUCAGGUUUCUGUCGCAUUGACUUAUUUCUUUUGUCGAUGUAAAUUGGUUAUGUGUGUCGUCAGGUUGCUGUCUAAAUGACCUUUUCGUAUGUUGAUGUAUUUAAGAUUUUUGUGUCGUGAGGUUGCUGUCUAAUUGACGUACUGUGUAUGUUGAUGUAUUUUGGUUAUUUAUGUCGUCAGGCUGAUGUCAAAUUUACGUCUUUCGUAUAUUUUGGUUAUUUGUGUCGUCAGGUUACUGUCUAAUUGACAUAUAACAUAUAAGCGAACAGAAACUGAUUAAACAAAAAAAGUACAUAUUUUGAUUUUCAU
rnacentral:lncRNA from 1 species